CCAAACCAGUGAAGGAGCCCAGACAAGGGCAAAUUAAACCCAACUACUAUUUAUUUUGUACUAUACAAUGUGCCUUCUUGUGGAUUUCCAUGCUUUCUUGGAUCCUUCUGCGCUUGGCUCCUGUUGGCAUGAGUAUUCUCAAAAAUCCUAUAGUUUUGCUCUUUCCAAAGGUUCCACACUAUAUAGAUAGCUAGGACAUUGAAAGCUUGCUUGAGGAUCAAGCGGAGGGAGUGCUCCCACCAGUCUGCUAGAAUGUUGAAGUUUGUGUGUUGUGCCACAUCAAAUCUGGAAAGUGCUACCAAGAGGUAACAAGACUCUAGACCGCUUGGGUAAAGGGGCAAGCCAAGCAUAAGUUAGCUAGUCUCCAGCGGGCCAUUGCACACUCAAUUUUGAAUUUUGAAAGAAUUCAAAGCCACGCACCGUUUUUCGGAACACUAGAGGGUCU
rnacentral:lncRNA from 1 species